GACGCUGAGGCACGAAAGCGUGGGUAUCAAACAGGAUUAGAUACCCUGGUAGUCCACGCAGUAAACGAUGAUUACUAGCUGUUUGUGAUAUAAAUAAGUGGCUAAGCGAAAGCGAUAAGUAAUCCACCUGGGGAGUACGCCGGCAACGGUGAAACUCAAAGGAAUUGACGGGGGCCCGCACAAGCGGAGGAACAUGUGGUUUAAUUCGAUGAUACGCGAGGAACCUUACCCGGGCUUGAAAUGACAUGACGAAGGUGGAAACAUCUUUUCUAGCAAUAGCAUGUAUGUAGGUGCUGCAUGGUUGUCGUCAGCUCGUGCCGUGAGGUGUCGGCUUAAGUGCCAUAACGAGCGCAACCCACAUUGUUAGUUACUAACAGGUCAAGCUGAGGACUCUGACAAGACUGCCAGCGUAAGCUGGAGGAAGGUGUGGAUGACGUCAAAUCAGCACGGCCCUUACGUCCGGGGCGACACACGUGUUACAAUGGGGGGUACAAAGAGCUGCUACUGGGCGACCAGAUGCUAAUCUCUAAAGCCUCUCCCAGUUCGGAUCGGAGUCUGCAACUCGACUCCGUGAAGCUGGAUUCGCUAGUAAUCGCGCAUCAGCAUGGCGCGGUGAAUACGUUCCCGGGCCUUGUACACACCGCCCGUCAAGCCAUGGAAGCUGGGGGUACCUGAAGUACGUAACCGUAAGGAGCGUCCUAGGGUAAAACUAGUAACUGGGGCUAAGUCGUAACAAGGUAACCA
rnacentral:rRNA from 1 species